rnacentral:rRNA from 1 species
AACCUCCGCAAUGUGAGAAAUCGCGACGGGGGGAUCCCAAGUGCCAUUCUUAACGGGAUGGCUUUUCAUUAGUGUAAAGAGCUUUUGGAAUAAGGGCUGGGCAAGACCGGUGCCAGCCGCCGCGGUAACACCGGCAGCUCUAGUGGUAGCAGUUUUUAUUGGGCCUAAAGCGUCCGUAGCCGGUUUAAUAAGUCUCUGGUGAAAUCCUGUAGCUUAACUGUGGGAAUUGCUGGAGAUACUAUUAGACUUGAGACCGGGAGAGGUUAGAGGUACUCCCAGGGUAGAGGUGAAAUUCUGUAAUCCUGGGAGGACCGCCUGUUGCGAAGGCGUCUAACUGGAACGGUUCUGACGGUGAGGGACGAAAGUUAGGGGCGCGAACCGGAUUAGAUACCCGGGUAGUCCUAACUGUAAACGAUGCGGACUUGGUGUUGGGGUGGCUUUGAGCUGCUCCAGUGCCGAAGGGAAGCUGUUAAGUCCGCCGCCUGGGAAGUACGGUCGCAAGACUGAAACUUAAAAGGAUU